UACGUAGAGUCCGAGCGUUGUCCGGAAUUAUUGGGCGUAAAGAGCUCGUAGGCGGUUUGUCGCGUCUGCUGUGAAAUCCCGAGGCUCAACCUCGGGUCUGCAGUGGGUACGGGCAGACUGGAGUGCGGUAGGGGAGAAUGGAAUUCCUGGUGUAGCGGUGGAAUGCGCAGAUAUCAGGAGGAACACCGAUGGCGAAGGCAGUUCUCUGGGCCGUAACUGACGCUGAGGAGCGAAAGCGUGGGGAGCGAACAGG
rnacentral:rRNA from 1 species